AACAUUACCAACCCCACUGGGUGGGUAUAGCCGCGGGAAACUGCGGGUAAUCCCCAGCGAAGCAAAGCGACCGGCAUCGGUUGUUUGCCAAAGCUCCGGCGCCGUGGGACGGGCCGUCGUGGUAUUAGGUAGUUGGGGGGGUAACGGCCCACCAAGCCUACGAUGCCUACCGGGCGUGCGAGCGUGGCCCGGCACACUGGGACUGAGACACUGCCCAGACUCCUACGGGAGGCUGCAGUCGAGAAUCUUCGGCAAUGGGCGCAAGCCUGACCGAGCGACGCCGCGUGGAGGACGAAGGCCUUCGGGUUGUAAACUCCUGUCGAGGGGAAAGAAGGCCCGCAAGGGCUUGACUGAUCCCUGGAGGAAGCACGGGCUAAGUUCGUGCCAGCAGCCGCGGUAAGACGAACCGUGCGAACGUUAUUCGGAAUCACUGGGCUUAAAGCGCGUGUAGGCGGGAGGGCACGUCCGUCGCUGAAAUCCCCCGGCUCAACCGGGGAAGUGGCGCGGAUACGACCUUCCUG
rnacentral:rRNA from 1 species